UGUGCCCCGAGUUCUUUCAAAAAUUCACCACACAAUAUGAUAUAUAUAGUAAACUUGAUUUUAUACUCUAUAUGAUAUGAUAUAUCUUAUACAUUUUAUAAAGAUAUUUUUAAUAAAAAUUUUUAAAAUAAAAUAUAAUAAAAUUGUAAAUUCUUAUUGUUCAUAAUAAUCAAAUCCACAACUACAUCUAUUUUAUGCAAAUAUAUAAGCAAACCAUCUAAUAUCAAGUUUAAACACUUUUUUCAAAAAUAUAUUGUUUUAUGUUAGAGAAAAUAUAGAUAGUUGUGAACUUAUGAUCUAUCUAUUUUUUAGAU
rnacentral:lncRNA from 1 species